rnacentral:rRNA from 1 species
AGAGGUUUGAUCCUGGCUCAGGAUGAACGCUAGCGGCAGGCUUAACACAUGCAAGUCGAACGGUAACAUAAGAGCUUGCUCUUGAUGACGAGUGGCGCACGGGUGCGUAACACGUAUGCAACCUACCCUUUACAGGAGAAUAGCCCCGAGAAAUCGGGAUUAAUACUCCAUAGUAUCAUAAAACCACAUGGUUUAAUGAUUAAAGCUUCGGCGGUAAAGGAUGGGCAUGCGGCCCAUUAGUUAGUUGGUAAGGUAACGGCUUACCAAGACAUCGAUGGGUAGGGGGUCUGAGAGGAUGAUCCCCCACACUGGUACUGAGACACGGACCAGACUCCUACGGGAGGCAGCAGUGAGGAAUAUUGGGCAAUGGAGGCAACUCUGACCCAGCCAUGCCGCGUGCAGGAAGACGGCCCUACGGGUUGUAAACUGCUUUUAUUUGGGAAGAAACCCCCCGACGUGUCGGGGGCUGACGGUACCAAACGAAUAAGCACCGGCUAACUCCGUGCCAGCAGCCGCGGUAAUACGGAGGGUGCAAGCGUUAUCCGGAUUUAUUGGGUUUAAAGGGUCCGUAGGCGGACCAAUAAGUCAGUGGUGAAAUCUUUCGGCUCAACCGGAAAACUGCCAUUGAUACUGUUGGUCUUGAAUAUGUUUGAAGUGGGCGGAAUAUGGCAUGUAGCGGUGAAAUGCAUAGAUAUGCCA